AACCCAUGAUGAGGGCACCUUCUCAAAAGAUCCUUAAAUUUCUCUCAUGCAUCAUAUAGUGUCUCAAGCUCAAUUUAGGCAAACGAAUAGAUGUCGUUCCUUAACUU
rfam:Gossypium hirsutum cultivar TM-1 unplaced genomic scaffold scaffold373.1, whole genome shotgun sequence